UUUACCCUUAUGUGGUGAAAUGACUGUUUUGCCCUUAUAAAGUAAAAUGACUAUUUUUCCCUUAUGAGGUAAAAUGAUUGUUUUGCCCUUAUAAGGUAAAAUGACUGUUUUGCCCUUUUAUGGUAAGAUGACUGUUUUACCUCUAUGUGAUGUAUGUUUAUAUUUUAGCAUGCUAUUGUAACUUUCUUGAGUAUAUAUAUAAUAUUAUGAUAUGACAUGACAUGUG
rnacentral:lncRNA from 1 species